rnacentral:lncRNA from 1 species
AUUGGGACAUGCUAAGUGGAAGGAAUUAAUCAAGAUUUGCGGAUUGGAUGGUGGGGCACUUUCCUCCGAAUAUUGGAAAGCGAUCGCGGAGCUGAAAGUGAGCAUCUUCCAAAUUACUUUGGUGUCAAGAUCCUUGGAACCUCUACUAGAAUGUCCCUGACUUACUGAAACAUGGAGCAGCAGGAAGCCAAGAAAAGACCCAACUCUGGUUUGAAGACCCUGGGGAAGAGUUGCAAAAAUAACACCUGCAGGUGUGGAAGGCUGUUCAGUGACCCCCGGUGUGCAGAAGGCCAUGAAGAAAUUAUGA